AUGGAUUCCAUCAUGGCUAACAGAACAUGGGAGAUCACUGAUCGUCCCUAUGGUUGUAAACCACUGGGGUGUAAGUGGGUGUUCAAAAAGAAGCUUAGGCCCGGUGGUACUAUUGAAAAGUACAAGGCUAGGCUUGUAGCCAAGGGCUAUGACCAGCAAGAAGAGGAAGAUUUCUUUGAUACUUUUUCACCUGUGGCUAGGCUGACCACCAUUCGAGUAUUACUCUUGUUGGCGGCCUCGCACGGUCUUCUCGUCCAUCAGAUGGAUGUUAAGACGGCUUUUCUAAAUGGAGAGCUAAAGGAGGAAAUCUACAUGCAACAGCCUGAUGGCUUUGUGAUAGAUGGUCAGGAAAGAAAGGCUGACAAAUGUGUAUACUAUCGCCAUGGUGGGGGCGAAGGAGUUAUACUGUGCUUGUAUGUUGAUGACAUACUGAUAUUCGGAACAAACCUCAAAGUCAUUGAGGAGGUCAAAUCAUUUCUAUCUCAGAACUUUGAGAUGAAAGACCUUGGUGUGGCUGAUGUUAUCUUGAACAUUAAGCUACUGAGAGAUAAUGAGGGUGGAAUUACACUUCUGCAAUCCCACUAUGUUGAGAAGGUGUUCAGUCGUUUUGGAUAUUUGGACUGCACGCCAUCUCAAACACCAUAUGAUCCUAGCAUAUUGAUUCGAAAGUCCAAAGGCAUGGCUAAAGAUCAAUUGAGAUACUCUCAAAUCAUUGGUUCACCGAUGUACCUAGCGAGCGCAACAAGGCCUGACAUCGCGUUUGCUGUGAGCAAACUGAGCCGGUUUGUUUCCAAACCGGGUGAUGUACAUUGGCAUGCUGUUGAGAGAGUUAUGCUCUAUCUGAAAGGUACUAUGAACUAUGGACUUCACUAUACCGGAUACCCGUCGGUACUUGAAGGGUAUAGUGAUGCGAAUUGGAUCUCUGAUGCUGAUGAGAUGAAGGCCACAACUGGGUAUAUGUUUACUCUCGGAGGUGGCGCUGUUUCCUGGAAGUCUUGCAAGCAAACGAUCUUAACGAGAUCGACAAUGGAAGCAGAAUUAACAGCAUUAGACACACCUGGUGUUGAAGCGAGAUGGCUUUGA
rnacentral:rRNA from 1 species